rnacentral:rRNA from 1 species
UACGUAGGUGGCAAGCGUUGUCCGGAUUUACUGGGUGUAAAGGGCGUGUAGCCGGGAAGGCAAGUCAGAUGUGAAAACUAUGGGCUCAACCCAUAGCCUGCAUUUGAAACUGUAUUUCUUGAGUGCUGGAGAGGCAGACGGAAUUCCUAGUGUAGCGGUGAAAUGCGUAGAUAUUAGGAGGAACACCAGUGGCGAAGGCGGUCUGCUGGACAGCAACUGACGCUGAGGCGCGAAAGCGUGGGGAGCAAACAGG